UGGUAGUGUAUUGGACUACCAUGGCGGUGACGGGUAACGGAGAAUUAGGGUUCGAUUCCGGAGAGGGAGCCUGAGAAAUGGCUACCAUUUCUAUGGAAGGCAGCAGGCGCGUAAAUUACCCAAUCCUAACUCAGGGAGGUAGUUAAUAGAAAUAACAGACUCGUGCCAUCGGCAUUGAGUAUGUAAUGAACCGUAUGUAAAAAAAACGGUGAAUACUAUUGGAGGGCAAGUCUGGUGCCAGCAGCCGCGGUAAUUCCAGCUCCAAUAGCGUAUACUAAUUUUGUUGCAGUUAAAAAGCUCGUAGUUGAAAUUCGGCGUGUAAAAGCGUCUGUCCGUGAGAAUUUCCGGUACUUAACGGUACCUGCUGUUCAAACGGACCUUUACUGUGAAUAAAUUAGAGUGCUCAAGGCAGGCUUUGGCUUGUAUAGUAAAGCAUGGAAUAAUAGAAAAAGACUUUAUUCUUUUAUUGGUUAUGAAUAAAGUAAUGAUUAACAGAAUCAGUUGGGGGCAUUCGUAUUUAAUCGUCAGAGGUGAAAUUCUAGGAUUGAUUAAAGACGAACUAAUGCGAAAGCAUUUGCCAAGAAUGUUUUCAUUAAUCAAGAACGAAAGUUAGGGGAUCAAAGACGAUUAGA
rnacentral:rRNA from 1 species